rnacentral:rRNA from 1 species
UCAGACGAUGCGUCAUGCAUAUCAAUAAGCGGAGGAAAAGAAAAUAACAAUGAUUUCCCUAGUAACGGCGAGUGAACAGGAAAGAGCUCAAAGUUGGAACCUGCUUGACUUAGUUAAGCCGGAUUGUAAACUGUAGAAACGUUUUCUAGGCAGGCCGAGUUAAAAAGUCCUUUGGAACAGGGCAUCAUAGAGGGUGAGAAUCCCGUCUUUGACUCGAGUAUUUUGUCUUUUUAUGAUACGUUUUCCAAGAGUCAGGUUGUUUGGGAAUGCAGCCUAAAUUGGGUGGUAAAUCUCACCUAAAGCUAAAUAUUGGCGAGAGACCGAUAGCGAACAAGUACCGUGAGGGAAAGAUGAGAAGAACUUUGAAAAGAGAGUUAAACAGUACGUGAAAUUGUCAAAAGGGAAGCGUUUGACACCAGUGUUGUUUUCUCGAAAAUCAAUUAAAAAGAGUUAGAUUUUGUUGUGUAUUGACCUUAACAGCUUGCAUUUCAAUUUUCUUGCUUUUUUUAAUGCACUUUUCGUUUAACAAGUCAACAUCAGUUUCUUUUGUUGUAAAAAGGUCAUUGGAAGGUGGCUUUCUUUUCGGAGAAAGUGUUUAUAAGCCUUUGACUCCUGCAAUCGGAGAGACUGAGGUCUGCAGCGUAGAUCCUUCGGGGUUAGAUACAUUUGUGCUAAGUUAUAGCUUUUUAUAGACAACUUGUUGACUAUGAUUAGUCUUGUAGCUUACUCGCUUAUGCUAUUUUACCUACGCUUAGGAUGUUGAGUCGUAGAGCACGCAG